GAUGAACGCUAGCUACAGGCUUAACACAUGCAAGUCGAGGGGCAUCAUGAAGUUUGCUUGCAAACUUUGAUGGCGACCGGCGCACGGGUGAGUAACGCGUAUCCAACCUUCCCUAUAGUAGAGAAUAGCCCGGCGAAAGUCGGAUUAAUGCUCUAUGUUGUAUUUUGCGGACAUCUAACGAAUACCAAAGGUUUACCGCUAUAGGAUGGGGAUGCGUCUGAUUAGGUUGUUGGCGGGGUAACGGCCCACCAAGCCAUCGAUCAGUAGGGGUUCUGAGAGGAAGGUCCCCCACAUUGGAACUGAGACACGGUCCAAACUCC
rnacentral:rRNA from 1 species